rnacentral:rRNA from 1 species
GUAACAAGGUUUCCGUAGGUGAACUUGCGGAAGGAUCAUUAUCGAGUGCGGGCCCUCGUGGCCCAACCUCACCACCCUUGUCUCUAUACACCUGUUGCUUUGGCGGGCCCACCGGGGUCACCUGGUCGCCGGGGGACAAUCUGUCCCCGGGCCCGCGCCCGCCGAAGCGCUCUGUGAACCCUGAUGAAGAUGGGCUGUGCUGAGUACUAUGAAAAUUGUCAAAACUUUCAACAAUGGAUCUCUUGGUUCCGGCAUCGAUGAAGAACGCAGCGAAAUGCGAUAAGUAAUGUGAACUGCAGAAUUCCGUGAAUCAUCGAAUCUUUGAACGCACAUUGCGCCCCCUGGCAUUCCGGGGGGCAUGCCUGUCCGAGCGUCAUUUCUGCCCUCAAGCACGGCUUGUGUGUUGGGUGCGGUCCCCCCGGGGACCUGCCCGAAAGGCAGCGGCGACGUCCGUCUGGUCCUCGAGCGUAUGGGGCUUUGUCACUCGCUCGGGAAGGGCUGGCGGGGGUUGGUCACCACCAAAAUUUUACCACGGUGACCUCGGAUCAGGU